UACGUAGGGUGCGAGCGUUGUCCGGAAUUAUUGGGCGUAAAGAGCUCGUAGGCGGUGUGUCACGUCGGCCGUGAAACCUGACAGCUUAACUGUGGGCGUGCGGUCGAUACGGGCAUCACUGGAGUUCGGCAGGGGAGACUGGAAUUCCUGGUGUAGCGGUGAAAUGCGCAGAUAUCAGGAGGAACACCGGUGGCGAAGGCGGGAUCUCUGGGCCACUUGACCUGACGUGAGGAGCGAAAGGCGUGGGGGAGCAA
rnacentral:rRNA from 1 species